rnacentral:rRNA from 1 species
AUUGAACGCUGGCGGCAGGCUUAACACAUGCAAGUUGAGCGGAGAUGAGGUGCUUGCACCUUAUCUUAGCGGCGGACGGGUGAGUAAUGCUUAGGAAUCUGCCUAUUAGUGGGGGACAACAUUCCGAAAGGAAUGCUAAUACCGCAUACGUCCUACGGGAGAAAGCAGGGGAUCUUCGGACCUUGCGCUAAUAGAUGAGCCUAAGUCGGAUUAGCUAGUUGGUGGGGUAAAGGCCUACCAAGGCGACGAUCUGUAGCGGGUCUGAGAGGAUGAGCCGCCACCCUGGGACUGAGACACGGCCCAGACUCCUACGGGGGGCAGCAGUGGGGAAUAUUGGACAAUGGGGGGAACCCUGAUCCAGCCAUGCCGCGUGUGUGAAGAAGGCCUUAUGGUUGUAAAGCACUUUAAGCGAGGAGGAGGCUACUGAGACUAAUACUCUUGGAUAGUGGACGUUACUCGCAGAAUAAGCACCGGCUAACUCUGUGCCAGCCGCCGCAGUAA